CAUGGUUCCGGCCUGAGAUCGUGAAACAGCGAUUCCGAGUCCGAGCUGCGGCAGCAGGAGCAGCAGCGGCGGCGACCGCAGGAGCGCGAACCCCAACAUGGGUCGCCGCCGCAAGAACGGAUUUACACAACCCUACAGGAGCCACUUCAAGAGAGAGUUACAGCUCUAAGUUCAUCGGCUGAUUUAUGGUCUCAAUUUUCACUUCUAUAAAGAAGUCUUCCCUGACUUUGUUAUUUAAGG